CCGCGGCAACCGGACGGAUAUUGCGGCGUGGUUAGGCAUGCAGUCGUGCGGCAGCAGGCCCCGCAGGGGUGCUGGCGAGCGGCGUAAGGGAGAGGAACACGCGGGUACCUGCCCUCAGGACCGGGAUAGCUGCGGGAAACUGCAAUUAAUACCGGAUGACGUCUCCGGACCAAAGGUGUAAUUCCGCCGGAGGAGGGGCCCACGUCCUAUCAGCUAGUUGGAGAGGUAACGGCUCACCAAGGCGAUGACGGGUACGGGGUGUGAGAGCAUGCCCCCGCUCACUGGGACUGAGACACUGCCCAGACACCUACGGGUGGCUGCAGUCGAGAAUCUUCCGCAAUGGGCGAAAGCCUGACGGAGCGACGCCGCGUGCGGGAUGAAGGCCUUCGGGUUGUAAACCGCUGUCAGUGGGGAGGAAAUGCACGGGGGUUCUCCCUCGUGUUUGACCGAUCCGCAGAGGAAGCACAGGCUAAGUUCGUGCCAGCAGCCGCGGUAACACGAACUGUGCAAACGUUAUUCGGAAUCACUGGGCUUAAAGAGUUCGUAGGCGGCGCGUUAAGUCGGGUGUGAAAGCCCUCGGCUCAACCGAGGAAUUGCAUCCGAAACUGGCGUGCUUGAGUGAGAUAGAGGUGGGCGGAACUGAUGGUGGAGCGGUGAAAUGCGUUGAUAUCAUCAGGAACACCGGUGGCGAAGGCGGCUCACUGGGUCUCAACUGACGCUGAGGAACGAAAGCUAGGGGAGCGAACGGGAUUAGAUACCCCGGUAGUCCUAGCCGUAAACGAUGAGCACUAGGUUGAGGGGACCUCACAUCCCCCGGCCGUAGCGAAAGUGUUAAGUGCUCCGCCUGGAGGAGUAUGGUCGCAAGGCUG
rnacentral:rRNA from 1 species